rnacentral:rRNA from 1 species
CCCUUAGACGUUCUGGGCCGCACGCGCGCUACACUGACCAGUGCAACAAGCAUCCGUCCUUGGCCGACAGGCCCGGGCAAUCUUUGAACGCUGGUCGUGAUGGGGAUAGACUUUUGCAAUUUUUGGUCUUCAACGAGGAAUUCCUAGUAAACGCAAGUCAUCAACUUGCAUUGAUUACGUCCCUGCCCUUUGUACACACCGCCCGUCGCACCUACCGACUGAAUGGUCCGGUGAAGCCUCCGGAUUGGCGCGCACCUCGGUGCCGCCGAGAAGUUGGCUAAACCUUACCAUUUAGAGGAAGGUGAAGUCGUAACA